ACCGCCCGUAAGAGCCGCGGCCCCACCUCUCGAGCAAGAGGGAAAACACCCGAGGGACGCGACUAAGCACAAGAUGGCGGCGUUGGCUGAUCGCCAAGGCUCAGGCGGGGCUGCUGUGGCCGCCAUUAGGCCCCCUCCCCCUCCCCGCGGGUACAUCCUCAUGUCAGGGUGUAAGAGGCCCGGGCACGGCAGCAGGGGAGCGGCUGGUAAGAUGGCGGCGGUCUCAGCCCCGUAUGCAAAGUACCCGCCGCCCCCUCCCCUCCGCCCUCCCGGUGGCAAAGGUAAAAGGGUCGGGUUCAAGCCGCCGCCUCCGCCCGCUCAGACUCCAUCUUCUCUGUGUCCGUGUCCCGAGCUCGUCACCGCCGCGACCAUCACCCCUGCGACCCCCCGGACAGCAGGCUGCUCUCACCAGGACCGGACCGGCUCCGACCUCAGGCGGCCCGCAUUCCAGCCCGGCGGCUCCGCAACGAGACUCCCGCACCGGAUCGGCCCAGCACCUCACAAUGGUCCUCCCUCUCCCGCCAGGAGCUGCAGGCCAGCGAACGGCACAGCUGGCUCUCGCUUACCAGCGAAAUACCGGAGCCUUCGCAUCCCCCCUCCCCUUAAACCGAGCGCCACCCAUCCGCUUUGCCGCUCGGGGGGGUGCCCCGAGCAAGGAACUGGCGCCAAACGUGCCCUGGCGGUGACCCUGACCUGGGCCCCGGCGGGCCGGUGUUGGGCAGCGGUACCCGGCGGUGGCCCUACCCCCGCAGGGCGGCAGCGGUGGUGAGGGGCUAUCGGGGUGCGGGGGGGCCGGGGCUGUGCUGCGGGGCUGCGCGGGGGGGAUGUUUUGGUUUGUGUGCCGUGCCCUGUGAAAGGUCAGAGUUCGUGACCCCGCCCGCCGCUGCCGCCGCCUGAGAGCGUGUCCCCGCUUCCUCGUCCCCGCGCUAGGCCGGCCGCGGCCCCUUCAUCCCCCUCGCGGGGCGGGGCUGGGGACGGCGGCGGGGAGGGGCUACCUGGGCCGCUCCGAGCCUCGCCGCGAACGCUCCGCCGGGCAGCGGGAGCCUGCUCCGCCGGGCUGGCAGCGGCGCUGGAGUGCGGGGCGGGAGAGGAGUGCUGCGGGCCCCGGACGCCGGUGCUGGGCCGCGGUGGCGCCCUGGCGGAAGAGGAUGCAGGGGGGGCACCUGAGCGUGAACGAUCCAGGUCCGCGCCCCACUAUGGAACGCAGGGGACGGCGCUUCCCUGCUCAGAGCAGCCCUUCGCAGCCCGGCUCGCGGCUGGAGGUGACCGGCGGAGGCGGUGGUUGGGUGCGGGAUGGGUGCUGUGUUUGCUCUCCCGAGAGUUGCUCAGCCGAAGGUGCUCUUGCGGUUGAUGCUAGCACAGAGGCCGGCGCCAGGUUGUCCGGAGGUUUUCUUCCCUUCCGUAAGGUCGGUGUCGUUGAUGGGGGCUCUCGCAGUGGAGGUGGCUUGGGUGGGAAACGUGGUGUGCUUCCGAGUGGGCAACUGUGUAGGCAUGAGUAGAUGCGGCUCAGGACCUUAUCUACGACUUCCUGGUGCUUGUCGUCUCUUCCUGAGGCUGUUGGAUGUUGACCCGUGACCCCAGUUCGCUGUUGUAACUGUGUGUAGCUAUUUCUUAACCUGCACUUACCAGAAUGAUCUUGGUCCUUCUACUGAGUUUCUCUUAAGUCUACUUAUUUUGGCAGAAGCCAACUUAAGGAGUCAUCAGACGAACAAAAACUCGAAGAUCGGAAGUGAUAGUAACUCCUGAAAGGAAAUACGUGCAGGAGAAAGCAGCUGAAUGCAGCAAUCACUGAAACAGGAGCUGCUGUUGUCCAAGUAGUUACACAGUCAGCAGCCUGAUUUGUUUGGCGUUUUUGGUUUUAUUUUUGGUUGGUUGGUAUGUUAGAACUGGCUCUUUGGGGCAAGGAGAUGAGAAAUGAAGAAUCGCGUAUGAAUUGCAGCCUUGCUGUUACAAAACUGGAGUUAACAUUCAAGCACGUGUGUUUGCAAUACAUGAAUAAAGGAAAAGAUAAACAGAAAAUGUCUUGGGUGUUUGUUCACUUCUGUCAUGUUAAAUAUAUGAAGAAUCUUCAAAUUCUUAAAACACAGACAUGCACAUCCCUUCACAAGCAGAUUUUUUUUUUCUUUUUUUCAUAAAACAGUAUUAAAGUGUAAGUAUGUUUCUGUAACACAGAUAAGUUUAGGGAUUUUCAGAAUUCUCAUAACAGCCUUACUGUAGAAGUAGGUUAGAUGUUAGGGUAAGAAUGUGUUUUCGUGUUAUAAAUCAAGGACAAUGACUUGUGGAGUAGUUUGUAUGAGUACGGCAUGUUUUUUAAAUGGAGGAUUUGGAAAAAAGCCCACCUUUUUAAAGUGAAAUAAGGGAAUAAAAUGUUAGUGUGGCUUUAAACUGUGUGAUGUGCAUCUGUUGGAUCAUAGUUGUAAGCAAAUUUAAACUGAAUCUUUAGUUUUGUUCUUUAUUUGCUAUCCUAAAAUGUUUUUAUCAGAAUUUUAAUCUUUUUUUUUUCUUUCUUUCUUUUUUAAUCUUUUAAUUAUUUUUUUCACACCAGUUGUGUGUUCAUGGUUAGGUAGAAAAGUAUUUCAAUCUUGUGGUCAGAGAAUUCUCUAACAAGACAUAGUAUUUCUUCAGUUGUGCACUCUUCAGUGAGUGGUUGUCACUUGCUGAAUAAACCAGAGGAGAGUCCCACUGUGAAUAAAGAUGCUUUUGAUUUUGAGAGUUAUCUUUAUGAGCAGGAAUAUCAGAAUAUAUAGGAUGCAGAGGAAGUGGACUAGGAUGCUUUCAGUUAAAUUUCUGCUUUAUAUAGAGAUCUCAUUUUGAGCUCUUCAGGGAAAUAACGUGUUAUUUUUUCCUUGAUAAUAAAAUAUAUUUAAUUUUGUUCUGCUGGCUAGCAAAUUCUCUUCCCUACACCCCUUAAAAGGGAGGGCCAGCAUUUCUGUAGCUUCUGACUGCUAACCUGUUCGUUUCUACUUUUCUCACCUCUGCAGUGUAGGUUGAAAUUUUGAGCUUUUCAGCUGAUGCAUAGAGAGAGCCAGGACUUUUCAAUGACUUCCUGAGUGUGUUUUGGCAUUCGUUCACUUUUCUGCAGUAGUUGUUCUAUAAUUGCUUACCAGAUAAGUCAUUUUCCCGCAACAGGUCUUCCCAAUCCUUUCCGCUACUCCAUGUCCAGAAGUGUGCAAGAGUAUGCUUGGGGGCGGGGAGGGGGUGUCCUUUUUUUAACUGGCUUGGGCAAAGGUGUGUUAUCUGUCAUGACAGAGCUUUGCCAGUGGUCUUGGUGCAUGAGAGAAUUUACCAAUUGGAUUAGCUCUGAUAAAUUAGAUGAACUCUAUAGCGCAGCUUAUUUAUUGGUUUGCUCACCUUCUGUCUUACAGUCGUGUUGCAACCUCUUUUGACGUAGGUUGUUUUUCUUCUGGCUUUAUGUAUUGAAAACUGAUGUGAUUCUGCACUCGGGCACUGCAGCAAUAGCCUUGUGUACCCUGUGCCCUUCUGCUGUAUGGCAGUCCAUCAGGUAGCCUGGCUGGGAAGGCUGCUUCUCUUGCCUGUGUAACUGCUGCUGUUGUUUCUUAGCCGUUUCCAGUGUUCUGCCUCAGUGUUGUGUUUAAGAACGUACCUCUGACUUGUCACUACUUUUUGUUUUUUCUCUCCCCCCCCCCUUUUUUUUUUCCGAAGUACGAGCAUGCACAUCUGGAGGCCCUACAAGUGCUAUCAAGGAUUCUUACAUAAACCUGCACAAUUAAAGAUCUGCAUAUAUAUUGGCAACCAAAUGUAUGUGUACUUGUGAAAGGAUUGCUGUGGCAUAAUGAAGUAGGAGAACAGAAAAGACCAUCAAUCACUGGGAUGCUAAGCCUAUAAAGCAGGUGUGUGCUGAUGAUAAUUUCCGAGUAUGUUAUAUCAUCACCCUGCUGGAUGUGUACCUGAGUGUACAGCCUAUUUCAGCAGGGCUUCCUCUUCUAGAGGCUUGUGCAUUGUGAGAAUUUCGCUAUGGGAGGACAUUACACUGAAGAUUGCUCACUUUAGAGCCUAACAGAUCUAGCAGUCUAGAGAAGAGGUGGGUUUAUCUGUUUACGUCACCAUGCUUUUGAGCGUACAUGUUUUAUUUCUUUGUUAAAGCCCAAGGUCUGAGGUACUUUGAGAAGUAGGGUAUUGUGCUUAGACCAGUGGUCUAGUCUGUUAAAGUAAAAUUCUGUAGCUUGAAUGUUGCAGUAAUUCUGUUUUGUUUUGAAUAUUGCAGAUGAAUGAAUUGGCUACUGACAUUGCUGGAAGACAAACGGAAAUGCUUUAAAGGUGUAUUUUUCCUCUCAGUGGUACUGGAAAUGAAAAUACAGUGAUGAGAAUUGCAUAUCGUAUUAGGCAAAGUCUGCAGAUACCCUACUGAAUGUUUUGCACAUUUGUGUUUGAAAAACCGAGUAAGAUUGCUUAGUGUUACCUUGCAAAAAUAUUCCAAGGUAUAUUACAUGGAUAGUUGUGAGGAUUGGGGGAGGUGAUCAUAAGUUAAAAUGACAAACUUUCAUAGUAUUAAUGAUUUUAUCGAAAUAAAAAUAUUGGUAUGUCGUAACUUC